GAGACCUCAGGUCAGGCGGGACUACCCGCUGAG
rnacentral:rRNA from 1 species